ensembl:lncRNA LOC108352071 uncharacterized LOC108352071
AGCAGGAACAGCCAAAUAAGGACUUGUUUUUAGCGGAAGGCAGAAACAGGACUUGUUUUUCACAAGGAGCGGUAGGCGGAAACCGGCGCCAUCUCUGGGGCGCAGGACCUCGCAGCUCCCUACACAAAUGUGAGCGCCCAGCUUCUUGCUCCCGCCAUCAUGCCUGCCACUUACAGCCUUCCCUUCGUGCCACGAUGUACUCAUUCUUCCGGAACUAAGCUUACAAUUAAGAAAUUGUCUUCAGUCUGAGAAGAGUUUUUAGACUUUGGGAUUUUAAACAACGUUGAAAUUGUGAAAGACCAUGGCAACAUUUGGAGUUGGACUGAAGCUAAGCGUAUCUUGCAUUGUGAUGUGGCCAUGAGCCUUUAGGAGCCAAGGAAUGGAAUGUGGGGGGUAUAAAUGAGAAUGUCCCCCACAGGCUUGGAUGUUUGAAUACCUGGUCCCCAGUUGGUGGUGCUGUUUGUUGGGGAGGGGGCUCACGAGAACCAGCCUUUCUAGGGGAUGUUUGUUACUGGAGGCUGGCUUUGACGGUUAAUAUUAUAUACCAUUACUACUUUCCUCUCCCUGAGAUAGAAAAGUAUGUUUCCAGUUCUAGUUGUGAGCUCUCUCUCUCAGCUUCCUGCUCCAGCUGCCAUGUCUGUUACUCAUUGCUAUGCCUUUCUACCACGAUGGACUAUUAGCCCUCUGUAAGCCCAAAUAAACAGUUCCUUCUAUAAGUUGCCUUGGGCAUGUUAACAAAAAAGGUAAGUGAUAACAGAAAUAUUAUAAUCAUUUGCACACAAAUUACAAGUGAAACUGAAAAAAUAUCUAGAAAAAAUACAAACUAACAGAGACUGAAAAGGAAAAGGCACCCUAAAUAGACCUAUGGGAAGUAAACAGGAU